GACGAACGCUGGCGGCGUGCUUAACACAUGCAAGUCGAACGGAAAGGCCCUGCUUUUGUGGGGUGCUCGAGUGGCGAACGGGUGCGUAACACGUGAGUAACCUGCCCUUGACUUUGGGAUAACUUCAGGAAACUGGAGCUAAUACCGGAUAGGAGCCCCUGCUGCGUGGUGGGCGUUGGAACGUUUCGGCGGUAGCGGUUGGACGAGCGGCUUAUGAGUUUGUUGGUGGGGUAGUGGCUUACCAAGGCUUUGACGGGUAGCCGGCAUGAGAGGGUGACCGGGCACAAUGGGACUGAGAGACGGCCCAGACGCGUACGGGAGGCAGCAGUGGGGAGUAUGGCACAAUGGGCGGAAGCCUGAUGCAGCAACGCCGCGGGCGGGAUGACGGCCUUCGGGUUGUAAACCGCUUUCGCCUGUGACGAAGCGGGAGUGACGGUAAUGGGUAAAGAAGCACCGGCUAACUACGUG
rnacentral:rRNA from 1 species